GAACAGAAACUGCUUGAUGAAGACAACAGCAACAACAACAACAACGUUGACACUUCCAAAACUGGAACUGUAACUUCCAUAUGUCAUGACCUUCUAUUACUUCUCUCUUGCUGUUACUGUUGUUUCUGCUGUGGCGGAAAUGCGGCCGGUGUGGUCCAAAUUGCAGUUGUGAGGCUAUUGUAGAGCCUCAAAAUUAUUUAUAUUUCAGCUGCAAUUGUGGUAUAGGACUGCAAUUUAAAAUCAUGAACGAAAAGUGUUCCACGUUUCUGGUAUAGUUGUUCUCGCCAUAAGGAAAUUGAUAGUAUCAUUUCUGUUAUGA